rnacentral:lncRNA from 1 species
ACCCCAUUUAUAGUUUUUAUAAAAAUUGGCUAUAUUCCCUGUGUUGUACAAUAUAUCUUUGUAACUUAUUUAUAUUUUAUAUAGUAGUUUGUACUUCUAAAUACCCUACCCUCCUCUCUUCCGUGUCCCUACUGGUAAUCCCUAGUUUGUUCUCUAUGUUUGUGAGUCUGUUUCUUCUUUGUUAUAUUCAUUAUUUGUUUUGUUUUAUUUUUUUCAUUUUAAAAAUUUUAUUGAAGUAUAAUUGAUUUACAAUGUUGUGAUAAAUUCUGCUGUACAACAAAUUGAUUCAGUUACACAUACACACAUAUUCAUUCUUUUUCAGAGUCUUUGGGUUUGGCAUAUGCACACUGUGCUAAGUGGAAUGACUGGCCAAUGGGGACCUGUUGUAUAGGUUCCAAUAUUUUACCCAAUAUUCUGUGAUAUUCUAUGUGAAGAAAUAAUGGUUUUUUUUAAGAUUCCAUAUAUAAGUGAUGUCAUACUGAACUAAUUUUGCAAAAUUAGCUUUAAAAGGUCGAAAUCUAGAUCUGAAGUUUCUGCAUUGAUCUGUAAUUUUACUUCCUUAUUGAACCAUUGAACCUAUUUUUUUUUUUUCUCCUCAUGGCAGCUAUGGAUUAUAGUGGUUGUUCAAUAAAUGUUCAAAAGAAGUAUCAUUCUUAUACAAGAUUACUUAUCUUUUGACGUAUCUCAACUUCCUAUCCAACUUUAUGUAUCUCUUGACUCCUUUACCUUCUAGAUUUCUCCUGCAUCAGAGUAGGUAAUUUCUGACCUUGAAUAGACACAUGGUUUAUGUUUUCUUCCCUGCUCAUUUUUUAGCUUUGUUGUCCAACCCAGGGUUCAUCCACUAGAAGGGCUAACUAAGCAGGUUUUCUUCUCCUGCACUGAGCUCCUGACUGUACACAGAAUCACAUGAGGCAGGAAAGGAAGAACAAGAUGCCCAACAAGGACGGAAUUGCACUCAAGGAUAAUUGCAAAGGAUCAGUAAAGAAGAAGCUGGAGUUAUGGUCAAAUUGGGAGACAAUGAAGUAUCCUGCCAACUCCUGAGGUAUAGGCACAGACAAAGGCUUGUCAGAGCAGAAAGCUUUCUCUUGGGUUUUCAUAUGGUGCUUACCUUGCACUCAGCCAAGGUAAGCAAAAAUGUGUUUCAGUUCAACUCUGUGUGUUCAGCCUGAACUGGCUGUGCCGCUCUGGCUCCCCUGUUUGUGGUCGGCCAGCUCUCUAGCUGCAGCUGAGUCUACUACUCCCAGCUAAUAAUAGGAGUCAGGUCAACUUUCAAUUUUGCUAGUCAUAAUGGAAUCAGCUUUUGCUUACUCAGGGAAUUAUUUAUAAAUAAUUUUCUUUUCAAACCAGCUGUGAUGAGGCUUUAGUGUCAGCUAACAUCGAAGGUGUAUGCCCUGGAGAUGCCUGUAUCAGGGUUCUUCCUUAGACCACAGGGUAAGCAUUGAUAAGAAGAGCAUUUCAGUGUUUGUUUGUCUUCUCGGAGGGAAAGGCGGGGAAAUUCAGGGAUGCCAAAUAUAGACAUAACAAACAUUUCUUGAAGCUAAAUUGGUGCUUCCCUCUUCCUAAAAAAUACAUGCUCCCUUUUAAAAUAUAUAUAUAUUUUUUUUCUUUUUAAAUAUAUGCAUACAUAUGUAUGUAUUUACUCUUCUCUUCAGUCACCUAAUUGUGUAGCAAACCACUUAAUCACUUCCUAGACCAACAAGAUAAUCUUUAAGGGACAUCAGUUGAAAGUCCUUAGUAGAAAGUGCAGUCUAGCAGUCCUGAAUGAUUGUUCUGUCUUCCAUCUUCUGUGCAUCUGGUGCAAUGGAUUUUUUUUUUUUUUUAGAAUAGACACAAAAAGUGACUUUUGUCUUAGAAUUACUGGAUGUAGGCUUAAGCAAGUAUCAAUUAUAGGGGCUUAGGCAGUAGACAUAUGGUAAAUUCUUUCUGGUCCCUCCCUGCGGAGUUACCGAGAGACAACCACAAUUUCUCCCCAACUUUGAAACACUUCAAUGUCUGGAAAGAUUGAAUUGCUCUGGAAAGAGGGUUAUGUGCCUCUUUUUGUCUUUGAGAUGGUCACUUUUUGUGUCUAUUCUAAGCAUAGGUAAAAUAUUUAUGGAAAUAAGAAAAUCCCAAUAGGAAAGACUAUAGAUAGUAACUAAGUUUUGUCUGUUUUAAACAAUAUGUAUUUGAAACAAUGAUAUCAGAUUCUAUCUGGUAGAGAAAAGAGAACUGAGCUUGAAGUUUAAAAAUAAUUUUGAUUUUUAGUCUAAAUCAUGCCACUUACAAUUCAGUGAUGCUUACAGUUGUGGUCACUUAACUUCUCUGAGCCUUAAUGUCCUCAAAUAAUAUAGAAAAAAUAUGUAACUUGUUAUAAAAAAUAAGAUAAUAUGGGUUAAAAUAAUCUAAAAUUUGGUCUAAAUAUAAAUAUAUUAUUAUCAUUUGAUCCUCUUCCUUGCCUUACGUCAUCUAGACUCAUUUCCUUCCGCUGUUCAUCUUUUAUACUAUUCCCAUAACUAGUAAAAGAUGAAACUCAAAUUUUAUGCUCCGUUAUAGUAACUACAUAACUAUAAAUUUUUUGCUUUCUUGGCCUCUUUUUACAAAUGAUCUUUUAAUAUUUUUGUUAUGUGGAUCUUAGUGCAUGUUACCUCUUACUGUUUAUAUGUCACUGAGGUCUGAAUUAAAGCAAUGCUAUUCAGAGUAAUUGCAGAAUGAUAAUCUAUUGUAUAAAUUUUAUAAUUCCAAAUUACUUGGGAUUUUAUAAUUCCUGGGAUCGUUUUAGUUUAAUUUACAAAUAAUUACUUAUUCAUUUUAUGAUUUCUGUCGAAAUAUCUAAAAGUAGCCUAGUACUUGCACUGAGGAAGUGCUAAACAAAAUUUAUUAAAUGAAUAUUGAUUUUUUUCAUACCCAAUUUGUUCCAAAAUAUUUAAAGCAUUUUAUAAAGACAUAAAGAAAAAAUGUUUAAACUGUAAUGGUCUAAUGAGAAAAAUGAAGAAACUUGUUGAAACAAUAAAAGAAUAGGCAAAUUACAGUGAAUUUAUACUUGUCUUGAACGCUUUAGAGAUUGUUCAGCAUGAGGAAUGUAUUUCAAUCUAUUAAGGCAUUUUAAAGCAGAACAUCAGGCGUUCAGUUGCUAUGCAAGCUUUAACUACCUAAAUGGCACUCAACUGCUAUGCAAGCCUCAUUAACACUAAGUAACUUAUUGAU